rnacentral:lncRNA from 1 species
CUGUCUUUCUUUGUAUCAGUGCUCAGCUGAGUCUGCAGUGCUUCAGAGCUUUUCACUUUUCGGAAAAUAGCUCCUGCUGGGGCUACAAGAUGGAGUGUGAAGAGGGCCUUGGGCCACAGGGAGGCGCCUGUGGACUAGGGGGAGUUCAUGCACCCCUUCUUUCCCCAGAGGGGCUGGACUCAGGUGAGUAUGGGGGUAGGAGCUCCUGCACUUCGACACAGGCAGCGGGAGGGUUUUCUCCCCAUUCCCUCUGCACUCCCAACUUGAGCUGUACUUUUUAAGAAAGUGAUUCACCCUGCCUUUGCCCCCUUCCCCAGAACAGAACACGUUGAUCAUGGGCGGUAUUUUUCACUGUGCCAAAAAGUUGCCAUGACCGUCAUUAAACCUGUUUUAACACCAAAUAAUAAGGAAAAUAAAAUAAAAAAUUCGGGCUUGGUGCAGAAACUCACUCCAAAUAAAUUACCUUCGAAAAUAUUUAUAUAAUGGUAGAAAUAUUCCAACAUUCCAUAUUUUGGGAUUUAUACACAAAAGAUAAACAAAUUAGAGGCCAAGAGGCUGCCAGAAGGGAAAAACGGGGCCUGGAAAGGCCAUUGUGAGGAAUGAGCUGGGCCUAAAGAGGCCACUGGCAGGCAGGAGCUGGGCCUGCCAAAGCGGCCGAAAGGCAGGAGCUUUGGACUGGGGAGGCCGCAGUGAGGCGAGAGCUAGCUGGGCGUGGAGAGUCCACUGUGAGGCUGAGGCUGGGCCCGUGCAGGCCUUCGAGAGGCAGGAAGCCGGGCCUGCAAAGGCCGACUGGAGGUCAAGUUCUGGGCCUGAAGAGGCCACCAAAAGUCAAAAGCGGGGCCUGGAAAGGCCGCUGAGAGCCAUGAGCUGGGCUGGGCCGAAAGAGGCCACUGGGAGGCAGGAGGAGCUGGACCUGGAGAGGCUGACUCGAGGAAGUUUUGCACCUGGAGAGGCCGCCGAGAGGACGGAGCUGGGCCCGGGGAGGCCAACCUUCGGCUCCUCUGUCACUUGUCCGCUUUGGCAUCACCUCCUCAUGGAAGACUUCCUUGACUCCUCAGAUUCUCAGGAGCAUGGCAGUUUUCCAAGAACCCUCAUAGUGGAAACAGAGUCCCUGGGAAAACGAC